AUCCUGGCUCAGGAUGAACGCUAGCGGCAGGCUUAAUACAUGCAAGUCGAGGGGCAGCAUGACUGUAGCAAUACAGUUGAUGGCGACCGGCAAACGGGUGCGGAACACGUACAGAACCUUCCUUCGAGCGGGGAAUAGCCCAGAGAAAUUUGGAUUAAUACCCCAUAGUACAACGGAGUGGCAUCACUUUGUUGUUAAAGAUUUAUCACUUGAAGAUGGCUGUGCGGCUGAUUAGGUAGUUGGCGGGGUAACGGCCCACCAAGCCUGCGAUCAGUAACUGGUGUGAGAGCACGACCAGCCACACGGGCACUGAGACACGGGCCCGACUCCUACGGGAGGCAGCAGUAAGGAAUAUUGGUCAAUGGACGAAAGUCUGAACCAGCCAUGCCGCGUGGAGGAUGAAGGUCCUCUGGAUUGUAAACUUCUUUUAUAUGGGACGAAAAAAGGGUUUUCUAACUCGUCUGACGGUACCAUAUGAAUAAGCACCGGCUAACUCCGUG
rnacentral:rRNA from 1 species